UACGGGGGGGGCAAGCGUUGUUCGGAAUUACUGGGCGUAAAGGGCUCGUAGGUGGCCAACUAAGUCAGACGUGAAAUCCCUCGGCUUAACCGGGGAACUGCGUCUGAUACUGGAUGGCUUGAGUCCGGUAGGGGACCACGGAAUUCCUGGUGUAGCGGUGAAAUGACGCAGAUAUCAGGAGGAACACCGGUGGCGAAGGCGGUGGUCUGGGCCGGAACUGACGCUGAGGAGCGAAAGCGUGGGGAGCGAACAGG
rnacentral:rRNA from 1 species